UACGUAGGGGGCAAGCGUUAUCCGGAAUCAUUGGGCGUAAAGGGUGCGUAGGCGGCUUUAUCAGUCAGGGGUGAAAGGCUACGGCUCAACCGUAGUAAGCCUUUGAAACUGUAGAGCUUGAGUGCAGGAGAGGAGAGUGGAAUUCCUAGUGUAGCGGUGAAAUGCGUAGAUAUUAGGAGGAACACCAGUGGCGAAGGCGACUCUCUGGACUGUAACUGACGCUGAGGCACGAAAGCGUGGGGAGCAAACAGG
rnacentral:rRNA from 1 species